UGAGGAAUUUUGCGCAAUGGGCGAAAGCCUGACGCAGCGACGCCGCGUGGAGGACGAAGGUCUUCGGAUCGUAAACUCCUGUCAAGAGGGACGAAUCCUGGGAGGAUGAAUAAGCUUCUCAGCUGACGGUACCUCUGGAGGAAGCCCCGGCUAACUCCGUG
rnacentral:rRNA from 1 species